rnacentral:rRNA from 1 species
UGGGGAAUAUUGGACAAUGGGCGAAAGCCUGAUCCAGCCAUGCCGCGUGUGUGAAGAAGGUCUUCGGAUUGUAAAGCACUUUAAGUUGGGAGGAAGGGCAGUAAGCGAAUACCUUGCUGUUUUGACGUUACCGACAGAAUAAGCACCGGCUAACUCUGUGCCAGCAGCCGCGGUAAUACAGAGGGUGCAAGCGUUAAUCGGAAUUACUGGGCGUAAAGCGCGCGUAGGUGGUUCGUUAAGUUGAAUGUGAAAGCCCCGGGCUCAACCUGGGAACUGCAUCCAAAACUGGCGAGCUAGAGUAGGGCAGAGGGUGGUGGAAUGUCCUGUGUAGCGGUGAAAUGCGUAAAUAUAGGAAGGAACACCAGUGGCGAAGGCGACCACCUGGGCUCAUACUGACACUGAGGUGCGAAAGCGUGGGGAGCAAACAGG